rnacentral:rRNA from 1 species
AGAGUUUGAUCAUGGCUCAGGAUGAACGCUAGCGGCAGGCCUAAUACAUGCAAGCCGAACGGCAAGCUUGGUAGCAAUAUCGAGCCUAGAGUGGCGUAAGGGUGCGUAACACGUAUGCAAUCUGCCCGCAACAGGAGGAUAGCUCCCCGAAAGGGGAAUUAAUACUCCAUAACACCAUUUGAGGGCAUCUGAAGAUGGUUAAACUACAAGGGGUUGCGGAUGAGCAUGCGGUUGAUUAGCUAGUUGGCGGGGUAACGGCCCACCAAGGCGAUGAUCAAUAGGGGAACUGAGAGGUUUAUCCCCCACACUGGCACUGAGAUACGGGCCAGACUCCUACGGGAGGCAGCAGUAGGGAAUAUUGGACAAUGGGCGAGAGCCUGAUCCAGCCAUGCCGCGUGCAGGAAGAAGGCCUUCUGGGUUGUAAACUGCUUUUGCCAGGGGAUAAAAAGUCCCUGCGGGGAAAAUUGAAGGUACCUGGUGAAUAAGCCACGGCUAACUACGUGCCAGCAGCCGCGGUAAUACGUAGGUGGCAAGCGUUGUCCGGAUUUAUUGGGUUUAAAGGGUGCGUAGGCGGUUUCAUAAGUCAGUGGUGAAAUACGGCAGCUCAACUGUCGAGGUGCCAUUGAUACUGUGAGACUUGAGUACAGACGAGGUAGGCGGAAUUGACGGUGUAGCGGUGAAAUGCUUAGAUAUCGUCAAGAACACCGAUAGCGAAGGCAGCUUACUAGGCUGUAACUGACGCUGAGGCACGAAAGUGUGGGGAUCAAACAGGAUUAGAUACCCUAGUAGUCC